rnacentral:rRNA from 2 species
AACUUAAGCAUAUCAAU